UAAUGGUCAAUAAUAAAAAUAUAAUUGAUAUUGUGAUAAAGGCUAGUUAAUGACUUGUGGGAAGGGGACAAAACAAUGGAAGGAUAAGAAGAUAAAGAAGUUUAAGAUAGAGUGGAAGAAGGAGAAAAACAUUAACAAAAGAGAAAUUUUGGAUAAAGAAAAAGAGAGAUAAAAAGGGGAAAGAAUUGAAAUCAGAAAGGGAAAAGAGGUACACAGUUACACAGGAAGAAAUAUUAAGGAUUAAAAAAUAUGAGAAAGGGCUAAGUAGAUUUGUGGGGUUACUAUUAGCAUAGCCUGCUUUCUAAUUUAGCCUUCAAAAUAAAAUAUCACAUUAUUGCCACCUUCUUUGCAAUUCUGAUUAGCAAAUUGGCUACUCUUUUUCCCAAUUAGGAAUUUCAGCCAGCAAUGUGUUGGCUAACCACAGGAGUUCCCAAAAGGAAGAUGUUUUUCUGCAAUGCUUUUUGCCACAGGAUGGCAAAAUUACACCCAGAUCUGAUUCUCCUGCAGAUUCCCUAUUCUGACUAGCUCCUAGGGCUCAAUGAGCAAGGAAGACCAGAAAAAUCCGACAUGGGAGCUAUGGACAGUUAUCAUGGUUGGUAACCUAACAUACGAAUCACCAGGAAAGAAAAGCAGAGGUUGGCAAGAGACGAGAGAAAGGCCAAGCAGUGAAAGUAAGAAUUUUCCUUGAACUGAAAAUCAUCCAGUACUUUUGUCAACAGGGACCAAGCAAAGAAGUGUAAACGAUUGAAGCAGGUGCGUCAGGGAGCCAGCAGGGGGUGCUGCGUCUGCGGUGAAUGGAGGAAAACAAGCCUCGUCCAAAAGGAGCAACCAGUACUUGUCUGGGUGAGUGUUCUCAUGAGGACUGUGGGCCAAUUGUAGCUAGAUCUUUCCAUUUUAAAACAACCACCAAAACCCACUAGAGAUGUACUUUUUAUUUUCAAAUAUGAAAUCAUCAUGCUUUAAAAUGUUGACUUAAGUAGGGAAAAUAUCCUGUGUUGACUUCCAGGCUUUAGGGUUGCAAAACCUUCAGCAACCUGAAGCAAGAGCAGCACAGCACAAAAUCUGGGAGGUGGACAGCAUUAAAAGAAAGGAUCUCUAGCUAUCUGGAUGAGGCUGCAAAGGUGUCCUCAACAAUACACCAACAAUUUGAUAUUAUCAAUUUAAAAAAUAAAUUAGACUUCUGAUUCUGGGAAGAUGGAAUAGACAUACUUUUCCCUAUUCCUUCCACUAAGUGCAAUUGAAAACUUUGGACAGUACAUAUAAAACAAACAUGACUCUGAAAGGGAGAGAAAGUGGACCAGCUAGGCAUCUUGGGUUAAAAGUGGAAUGGAUGAGAUGGCUACGGUGAGGAGAGAAAUGCAAAAUGAGGGCCAAAGAAAGAAAUUUGGGGAUGCCUCCAGAGUUAUUACUCUUUGAUUUACAAUGAGAACAACAUAGGAGCUUUUUAAAAAAUAAUCCAAUCCUUAGUAUCCCUCCAUGGAGAUUCAUGGGUGCUUUCUAUAUUUUUUCAAGGCUCUACAGAUAAUUCUAUGGUGCAAUAUAUGUUGAAAACAGCUAAAUCACUGGAGGGAAAAAGAACUAAGAAGGAUUUGCCAUAAACAGGGAAGUGAUUCAGAAGAUAGCAUUCAGGAAGCUAAGGAAGCGGCAGAUUCAUGGAUGUGAGAGUGGCCAACAGCACCAAAUUCUGUAGGACAGUAAAGAGAUUGAGGACUCAAAGGAAGUUCUUUCUUGAAUAAUGAAACAAAGACUGCAUUUGAAGGCUCUUAAAUGUUGUGGGAAUACUAAAAUAAAUUAGGUCUGUAUAUAUCAGUAUCUUAUUUUAUAGGCCAAUAAGGGAGCAGUUCAGGGCAAUGAUAGUAAAAAGGAGUAAAGAGAGAACCUUACACUAACUUUAGAACUGCCUAGACACCAUCCCUGAUGACUUUAUUAAGAGGACAAUAGAUGUCUAUGAAGUCAACCUAUUUUAAAAAUGAUAGUACAAAAUGCUGUCAGAAGGCAAAUAUCUAGGGUGCAAAUCUAAAUACAAUUUAUAUAAAGUCAAGACUUAGAUAAAUUAUAAAAAUAUUAGGAAAUGCCCAAAUUAAAAAACUCAAAGUUUACUACCUUAUAUAAUUUUUCUUAUUUCACAUUCUGAUAUCUUUAAUCUUACAAUUUAUUAGUUCUAUGACAAACUGGUAAUUUCCCUUUAAGUAUAUAAUUUUUAUGAUUUGCUACGUUCUAAAAAUAUAGUAUGAAAUCUUCCUCAUUUUAUAAUGAAAAUAAAUAUUAACAUAUAUGCAUAAUGGUCUAUUAGUAAA